AUGGUCUUCGUCUGGCUCGCCGCCUUCUUCCUCGUCGUCGCGCUCAUCGUGCUCGUCAUCUUCCAGUUGAUGUGCUUGGCAGAUCUGGAGUUCGAUUAUAUCAACCCGUUUGAUUCAUCCUCUCGAAUCAAUAAAGUGGUUAUGCCAGAAUUUAUAGUGCAAGCACUUCUAAGUGCAUUAUUCCUCUUAUCUGGGCAUUGGGCGAUGUUCUUGCUUUCUGCCCCAAUGGUGUACUAUAACUAUACAUUGUACCAGCGUCGGCAGCAUCUUGUAGAUGUGACAGAGAUAUUUAACCAUCUUUCACGGGAGAAGAAGCGCCGUCUUUUUAAGAUAGCUGCUCUUAUCGUCCUCCUAUUCUUGUCCUUGUUCUGGAUGAUUUGGAGUGUACUGGAGGAGCACGAGUAG
rnacentral:rRNA from 1 species